rnacentral:rRNA from 1 species
UACGGAGGGGGCUAGCGUUGUUCGGAAUUACUGGGCGUAAAGCGCACGUAGGCGGCUUUGCAAGUUAGAGGUGAAAGCCCGGGGCUCAACUCCGGAAUUGCCUUUAAAACUGCAUCGCUAGAAUUGUGGAGAGGUAAGUGGAAUUCCGAGUGUAGAGGUGAAAUUCGUAGAUAUUCGGAAGAACACCAGUGGCGAAGGCGACUUACGGGACACAUAUUGACGCUGAGGUGCGAAAGCGUGGGGAGCAAACAGG